CCCACCCAGUCCCUUCCUACUCCUUGCCAGUGCGACCAUGCUUUUCUUCUCUGUAGAUGCUAACAGUUGAAGCCCUUUUUCCUAGGGCUCGUAACCAGCCAAUCAGAACACCAUGUCCAUUAGGGGUCAUAACCUGGCCAACAGUGUAUCCAUUGGGUUGGCUCUGCUGGAGGGAGGUGGCCCAGGUCCUGCUAUAGUUUAGAUGGUGAAUGUCCCCUAAAGGUCCAUAUAUUAAAGGUUAGUUCCCUAGGGUGACAAUAUUGGGAGGUGUGGUACAGACUUUGGGGUGUAGUAGGUGGGUCACUGGAGGUGUGCCCGAGAAGGAGAUUAUGGAACCUUGGCUCCUUUCUCCUUUUUGCUCCCUGGCUGAUGAGAUGAGCAGUUUCGCUAUACCAUGCAUUCCCACCAUGAUGUGCUUAUUGCCUGACCAAAG
rnacentral:lncRNA from 1 species